UUUUGUGACAUACCCUAGAGGACCAUAGUCUAUAUGAAUUCAUUUGGCGAGUCGGAGGUCAGAAAAAGUGCGGUGUUGAAAAACUGGAGCUCAUUUGCUUCAGCAAGAGGCUGCGCUGGAGAGUGGACCUUGUCACAUGUGAGCCACCCACAUCAACAGGAUGGGAACUCAUGUGGAGUGCAUGUCAUAAUGUUUGCCCAAUCUCUCAUUGACGGUAAAACACAAGUGGAGGAGUACAACACUGAAAUCACAAAGCUCAGGUCCCGACUUUGCCACUACUUAUUUUCCUCAAUAGAUCGAACUAGGAAGUGCAGUCAGUGCUGGUGUGUGAUUGCAGCCAAAGACCGGGUGCAGUGCCAGAAAUGUGGUGCAUACAAGCACAUGUUGUUCAAAGUCUGUUUGUGGCAUCUGUAUCUUCUGUGAGAGGCCGUAAAGCCAAACUGCCCGCAAUGAUUCUUGACAGGCCUAAGAAGGCCAAAACUAAAGUAACAGUGUUUAGUGUUCUGAGUGAAGAGGAGGCUGGGGAGCUAGCCCUCGGGUUUGCCGGAAGAUUGGCCUGCGAUGUCACAACAGACAUGGUCUGUAAAGGCAUCGACCAUUCAAGUGCUGAUAUGACAAAACAGACUCUUCUCAAAAUCCAACACAACCUUAAACAUGAGCUGACUGAUUCCUCAACCUUCAGUUUGCUGACACACACCUUUGGCCCCGCUGCACUGGAUUCUGUCAUUUCAUUCCUGUGUGAAAAACUUGAUCUUGUUUCUUAAAUAAUGAA